CCUACGGGUGGCUGCAGUGGGGGAUAUUUGACCAUGGAAGCAACGCUGACCCAGCAACGCCGCGGUAAUGAUGAAGGUCUUCGGAUUGUAAAGUUCUGUGAUGGGGGAUGAACACAAUGACGGUACCCCAAUAGCAAGCCACGGCUAACUACGUGCCAGCCGCCGCGGUAAUACGUAGGUGGCAAGCGUUAUCCGGAAUGACUGGGGGUAAAGGGCGCGUAGGUGGUUUAGUAAGUUGGCGGUGUAAUUCCGGGGCUCAACCUCGGCGCUACCGCCAAAACUAUUAGACUAGAGUGCCGGAGGGGUAAGUGGAAUUCCUAGUGUAGCGGUGGAAUGCGUAGAUAUUAGGAGGAACAUCAGGGGCGAAGGCGACUUACUGGACUGUAACUGACGCUGAGGCACGAAAGCGUGGGGAGCAAACAGGAUUAGAUACCCUGGUAGUC
rnacentral:rRNA from 1 species